rnacentral:rRNA from 1 species
UCCGUAGGCGGGCGUCUAAGUCAGUGGUGAAAUCUUACAGCUCAACUGUAAAAUUGCCAUUGAUACUGGAUGUCUUGAAUUAGUGUGAAGUGGUUAGAAUGUGUAGUAUAGCGGUGAAAUGCAUAGAUAUUACACAGAAUACCAAUUGCGAAGGCAGAUCACUAACACUAUAUUGACGCUGAGGGACGAAAGCGUGGGGAGCGAACAGGAUUAGAUACCCUGGUAGUCC